UAUUGGUAAUGUAAGUCUAUAGGCAAAUAGUAGUUAUAAUAAUUUAUAAACUACAGUACUGCGCUAUGAUUCGUGUAUGAUCGAUACAUAAUAUUUCUGAAUUAAGUUUCAUUAUAUACUUA